rnacentral:rRNA from 1 species
UAAAAAUGUAAUUAUAAAUACUAAAUUAUUAAUAGAUAUGUUCUUUAAAGUUAAAAAUUUUGGCGGUAUUUUAGUCUAUUCAGAGGAACCUGUUUCUUAAUCGAUAAUCCACGAUAAAAUUUACUUAUUUUAUUAAUUUGUAUAUCGUCGUAAUUUAAUUAUUUUAUAAGAAUUUAAAUAUUUAAGAUUUUUAUUAAAAAAUAUAUCAGAUCAAGAUGUAGUUUAUAAAUAAGUGAUAAUGGGUUACAUUGAAGUAAAUUUUUGGGUAAAUAAUGAAAAUAAUUUAUUAAAAUGGAUUUGAAAGUAAUUUUAAAAUUUUUAAAAAAUGAUUUUAGCUCUAAAAUAUGU